rnacentral:rRNA from 1 species
AUGAAACACUCCUACGGGAGGUAGCAGUGGGGGAUAUUGCACAAUGGGCGGAAGCCUGAUGCAGCGACGUCGCGUGAGGGAUGGAGGCCUUCGGGUUGUGAACCUCUUUCGCCAGUGAAGUAGGUCUGCUCCUGUGUGGGUGGGUUGACGGUAGCUGGGUUUUUAAGAAGCGCCGGCUAACUACGUGCCAGCAGCCGCGGUGAUACGUAGGGCGCGAGCGUUGUCCGGAAUUAUUGGGCGUAAAGGGCUUGUAGGCGGCUGGUCGCGUCUGCCGUGAAAUCCUCUGGCUUAACUGGGGGUGUGCGGUGGGUACGGGUCGGCUUGAGUGCGGUAGGGGAGGCUGGAACUCCUGGUGUAGCGGUGGAAUGCGCAGAUAUCAGGAAGAACACCGGUGGCGAAGGCGGGUCUCUGGGCCGUUACUGACGCUGAGGAGCGAAAGCGUGGGGAGCGAACAGGAUUAGAAACCCGUGUAGUCCGAAGUUC